rnacentral:rRNA from 1 species
CAGAGGGUGCGAGCGUUAAUCGGAAUUACUGGGCGUAAAGCGCGCGUAGGCGGUUUUUGUAAGUCGGGUGUGAAAUCCCCAAGCUUAACUUGGGAACUGCAUUCGAGACUGCAUAGCUAGAGUAUGGGAGAGGGAAGUGGAAUUUCAGGUGUAGCGGUGAAAUGCGUAGAUAUCUGAAGGAACAUCAGUGGCGAAAGCGACUUCCUGGACCAAUACUGACGCUCAUGUGCGAAAGCGUGGGGAGCAAACAGGAUUAGAUACCCUGGUAGUCCACGCCAUAAACGAUGAGAACUGGAUGUCGGGGGGGUCUGCCCUCCGGUGUCGUAGCUAACGCGUUAAGUUCUCCGACCUGGGAGUACGGCCGCAAGGUUG